UGGAAAUGCAUUCUUGUCUGUUUUCUAACCCACUUUUUUCCCCCACCGCCACCAUGGCCUAAUUCUCUGCGGGAGAACAUUAGCCUGGCCUGUACAAAAAACCUCACCUCCAGGAGACAGGAUGAUCUGCAGUGGUGCCAAAGCCUGUCUGCACAUAAGAAGCUCCGUGGAUAAAGGAUCUCAUGGACUGACUAAAGCGAUAACCCAUCCCUCACCUAUGAGGAGGACACUGCAGAACAAACAAAGACUUUAUAUAUUUACCCGGUGUAAUGGUCUACUUUAACAACAAGUAUUGAAGUUUGUACAUAUAGUGGAGUCUUAUUUUUAAGGAUAUUCAUUGGUGGCUGAAGUUGAGCCUAGCAAGGUGAGGUAGUAGGUUGUAUAGUUUGUGGGAUAGAGUAAAUCCUACUCAGGUGAUAACUAUACAGUCUCUUACCUUCCUUGAGAGGUACAAUGAGUGCUUGGAAUGAAGCUUACUGUCACUGACUGAGUGGCGAAGCAGCUACUCUAAUGCCAUCUUGUGGUCAAAGAGUAUCGUCGCUCUGGAAAUUAUCUGACACCGUUAUUAUGUGCAUCUGGUUUUAUUAAUGAUAAUAAGCUCAUAACUGGUGGAGUAAUGUGCUGCAGAUAAUGUGUUGCAUUGCAUCAGUUUUUCAUCAAUAAUGAACUUUUAAUCCAUAUUUUCAGGAUGCAAUCAGCUCACCAAAACAAUCCAAUAAAACACAGUCUGCCUCAACUGUC